GUCCACGCCGUAAACUAUGGAUGCUAGCUGUUAUGAGUAUCGACCCUCGUAGUAGCGAAGCUAACGCGUUAAGCAUCCCGCCUGUGGAGUACGAGCGCAAGCUUAAAACAUAAAGGAAUUGACGGGGACCCGCACAAGCGGUGGAGCGUGUUGUUUAAUUCGAUGCUAAGCGAAGAACCUUACCCAGGCUUGACAUCUUAGGAAAUUCUGCGAAAGCAGAGUGUGCCUUCGGGAGCCUAAUGACAGGUGCUGCAUGGCCGUCGU
rnacentral:rRNA from 1 species